AUCCAGCUGACGAGUCCCCAAAUAGGACGAAGCGAGCGUCAAACUGGAU
rnacentral:hammerhead_ribozyme from 1 species